GGAUAAGAUUAAUCUUAAAACUUGCUGAAUUUUGUGCACAAAUCCCUCUUUUUUUUCUCUUCUCCAAUGUAUUCAAUGAUGCUUGCUCAAAAGAAUGUAUUUCCCACUUUAAUUCCCUUAAUCUUGCUUCCCAAAUGUUUUUCUAGCCUUUAACAGUCUUAAAGUUGGUUGGAGGAGUUUUGACUAUUGAGAGACUUUGAAUAGCCGUU
rnacentral:lncRNA from 1 species